rnacentral:lncRNA from 1 species
UUUUCGACCGUCGGAUCAGAUGAAUCGAAAAAGAUCAACGAACAGAAAUUAUCAAGAGGUGUGUGAGAAGUAAAAUGAGAUGUAUGAAUAGCACACCUUUUUAUAUAAAUGGCGGUUCAAUCAAUUUGAUAUGAUUAUAUAUUAACAGAUCACCCGUUAAGAAUUUAAGUAGUCAGAUCUAUUAUCAGGAACCUGUUAAUAAAUUAGGUCAUCCAAGUUGGGUUGUUAUUUGGUUACUCAUUAAUAAGUUGGCCAUCUUAUUGGGAGGAAGUGUUUGACACGCGUGGGGGAUGAAUGAGAUAUGUUUUAGGAUAAAGUACAAAAAACUACCUCAAUUAUUU